UUGAGAACUGAAUUCCAAGGGUGUCUGCUUUAUAUUCAGCCCACGGAGUUCAGUUCUUAAG
rnacentral:pre_miRNA from 1 species